rnacentral:lncRNA from 10 species
AAUCAGAACGAGGAAGCCAGCCUCCAGCAUCGCCUCCUCUGGGAUCUUCUCUGACUUCCCAGUCGGUUUCAGAAGCCUCUGAUGACCCCAUGCGGAGAAGACUGCUCCCCUCACUGCUGGCACACGGCAGAUGCUCAACACUUGCUCCAGCUUCGCCUUCCGCCGCGAGUUGAAGCUCCCCGAGGCCUCCUCAGAAGCAGAAGCCACCACGCUUCCUGUACAGCCUGUGGGACCCGGAGCCAGUUCAACCUCUUUUCUUUAUAAAUUACCCAGACUCGGCCGGGCACGGUGGCUCACGCCUGUAAUCCCAGCACUUUGUUGAGACCGAGGCAGGCAGAUCACGAGGUCAGGAGAUCGAGAACAUCCUGGCUAACACGGUGAAACCCCGUCUCUACUAAAAAUACAAAAAAUUAGCCGGGCGUGGUGGCGGGCGCCUGUGGUCCCAGCUACUCGGGAGGCUGAGGCAGGAGAAUGGUGUGAACCCGGGAGGCGGAGCUUGCAGUGAGCCGAGAUCCCGCCACUGCACUCCAGCCUGGGCAGCAGAGCGAGACUCCAUCUCAACAAAUAAUAAUAAUAAAAUAAAUAAAUAAA